rnacentral:rRNA from 1 species
AUUAGCUUGUUGGUGGGGUAAUGGCCUACCAAGGCAACGAUGGGUAGCUGGUCUGAGAGGACGAUCAGCCACACUGGGACUGAGACACGGCCCAGACUCCUACGGGAGGCAGCAGUGGGGAAUCUUGCGCAAUCGCAAGGCCUCAUGCUAUAGGCCGCGUGCGGGAAGACGGCCUUAGGGUUGUAAACCGCUUUCAGUUGGGACGAAGCUUCAGCCGUUAAUAGCGGUUUGGAGUGACGGUACCUUCAGAAGAAGCUCCGGCUAACUACGUGCCAGCAGCCGCGGUAAUACGUAGGGGGCGAGCGUUGUCCGGAAUCAUUGGGCGUAAAGCGCGUGUAGGCGGUUCAGUAAGUCUGCUGUGAAAGUCCAAGGCUCAACCUUGGGAUGCCGGUGGAUACUGCUGGACUAGAGUCUGGAAGGGGCGAGUGGAAUUCCUGGUGUAGCGGUGGAAUGCGCAGAUAUCAGGAGGAACACCUAUGGCGAAGGCAGCUCGCUGGGACAGUACUGACGCGAAAGCGUGGGGAGCAAACAGGAUUAGAUACCCGGUAGUCCACGCCCUAAACGAUGUCAACCGAUGGAUACUAGGUGUGGGGGGUGUCAACUCCCUCCGUGCCGACGCUAACGCAUUAAGU